rnacentral:rRNA from 1 species
AAAUUGAAGAGUUUGAUCAUGGCUCAGAUUGAACGCUGGCGGCAGGCCUAACACAUGCAAGUCGAACGGUAACAGGAAGAAGCUUGCUUCUUUGCUGACGAGUGGCGGACGGGUGAGUAAUGUCUGGGAAACUGCCUGAUGGAGGGGGAUAACUACUGGAAACGGUAGCUAAUACCGCAUAACGUCGCAAGACCAAAGAGGGGGACCUUCGGGCCUCUUGCCAUCGGAUGUGCCCAGAUGGGAUUAGCUAGUAGGUGGGGUAACGGCUCACCUAGGCGACGAUCCCUAGCUGGUCUGAGAGGAUGACCAGCCACACUGGAACUGAGACACGGUCCAGACUCCUACGGGAGGCAGCAGUGGGGAAUAUUGCACAAUGGGCGCAAGCCUGAUGCAGCCAUGCCGCGUGUAUGAAGAAGGCCUUCGGGUUGUAAAGUACUUUCAGCGGGGAGGAAGGGAGUAAAGUUAAUACCUUUGCUCAUUGACGUUACCCGCAGAAGAAGCACCGGCUAACUCCGUGCCAGCAGCCGCGGUAAUACGGAGGGUGCAAGCGUUAAUCGGAAUUACUGGGCGUAAAGCGCACGCAGGCGGUUUGUUAAGUCAGAUGUGAAAUCCCCGGGCUCAACCUGGGAACUGCAUCUGAUACUGGCAAGCUUGAGUCUCGUAGAGGGGGGUAGAAUUCCAGGUGUAGCGGUGAAAU